UGCUUUUUUCAACGAGGCACUUCCAGGUUUUCUGGUUUGGACAGUGACUGAGAGUUUUCUGGUUUGGACAGUGACUGAGAGUUUUCUGGUUUGGACAGUGACUGGCAGUUUUAUGGUUUGAACGGGAAAAUGGCCAAGGCUGAAGAG